rnacentral:rRNA from 1 species
UCGAGAAUAAUUCACAAUGGGGGAAACCCUGAUGGUGCAACGCCGCGUGGAGGAUGAAGGUCUUCGGAUUGUAAACUCCUGUCAUCGGGGAGUAAGACCUGGAGGUGAAUAGCCUACAGGGUUGAUAGUACCCGAAGAGGAAGGGACGGCUAACUUCGUGCCAGCAGCCGCGGUAAUACGAAGGUCCCAAGCGUUGUUCGGAAUCACUGGGCGUAAAGGGAGCGUAGGCGGCGUGGUAAGUCAGAUGUGAAAUCCCGGGGCUCAACCCCGGAACUGCAUCCGAUACUGCCGUGCUUGAGGGUUGGAGAGGUAGCUGGAAUUCUCGGUGUAGCAGUGAAAUGCGUGGAUAUCGAGAGGAACACUCGUGGCGAAGGCGAGCUACUGG